CGCGCAUGCGCGGAGCGCUCCGCCGGCUCUUGUGGGCACACGGAAGCUGCGGCUGCCGAGACCUCGUGGCGCAACGGCACUUGUGCAGGCUCAGAGGGAACUUUGGCAACAGGGCUGGGGAGGAUGAACCUCAUGGAGCCACCAGGAGCUGGAGCUUGUGCUGACGCUCAUCUCCUGUGGUGCUGUGGGAACUCCUGGGACACUUCCAACUUUUUCUCUUCCAGAAGGGUUUUUCUACAUCAAAGUGAAAUUCCUUUCCAGUUGACUUCACCACUGAAGUUACAUCAGAGUAGCUGCUAACACCCAACACUGGAGCUCCAGGAGUAACCUUUGGAACAAAAGACUUCAAAGUGACAGCAGCCGGAGCCUCUGGCGAUAGUGAACUCCUGGUCUGCUCAGUGCAAUUCCACGUGCCUUUCCCAUGCACUUGGCUGAGUGCUCAUUGGAUCGAGUUGGCUCAACCUGAAGGGAUGCAGGUGUUGACGUGGUGCAGACUGCUCCUCGUGGGAAGGUGAAGCUGCCUGUGCUGAGCUAAGAAGUGAUGCAGGGGUUUUGGAGGUACCUUGGUUGGUU